UUUGAUGGAGGGUUUGAUCCUGGCUCAGGACGAACGCUGGCGGCGUGCUUAACACAUGCAAGUCGAACGGUAAGGCUCCAGCUUGCUGGGGUACACGAGUGGCGAACGGGUGAGUAACACGUGGGUGACCUGCCCUGCACUUCGGGAUAAGCCUGGGAAACUGGGUCUAAUACCGGAUAGGACCGCACCGUGAGGGUGUGGUGGAAAGUUUUUUCGGUGUGGGAUGGGCCCGCGGCCUAUCAGCUUGUUGGUGGGGUAAUGGCCUACCAAGGCGGCGACGGGUAGCCGGCCUGAGAGGGUGGACGGCCACAUUGGGACUGAGACACGGCCCAGACUCCUACGGGAGGCAGCAGUGGGGAAUAUUGCACAAUGGGCGGAAGCCUGAUGCAGCGACGCCGCGUGGGGGAUGACGGCCUUCGGGUUGUAAACUCCUUUCACCAUCGACGAAGGGUUUCUGACGGUAGAUGGAGAAGAAGCACCGGCUAACUACGUGCCAGCAGCCGCGGUAAUACGUAGGGUGCGAGCGUUGUCCGGAAUUACUGGGCGUAAAGAGCUCGUAGGUGGUUUGUCGCGUCGUCUGUGAAAUUCCGGGGCUUAACUCCGGGCGUGCAGGCGAUACGGGCAUAACUUGAGUACUGUAGGGGAGACUGGAAUUCCUGGUGUAGCGGUGAAAUGCGCAGAUAUCAGGAGGAACACCGGUGGCGAAGGCGGGUCUCUGGGCAGUAACUGACGCUGAGGAGCGAAAGCAUGGGGAGCGAACAGGAUUAGAUACCCUGGUAGUCCAUGCCGUAAACGGUGGGCGCUAGGUGUGGGUUUCCUUCCACGGGAUCCGUGCCGUAGCUAACGCAUUAAGCGCCCCGCCUGGGGAGUACGGCCGCAAGGCUAAAACUCAAAGGAAUUGACGGGGGCCCGCACAAGCGGCGGAGCAUGUGGAUUAAUUCGAUGCAACGCGAAGAACCUUACCUGGGCUUGACAUAUACAGGAUCGCGCCAGAGAUGGUGUUUCCCUUGUGGCUUGUAUACAGGUGGUGCAUGGUUGUCGUCAGCUCGUGUCGUGAGAUGUUGGGUUAAGUCCCGCAACGAGCGCAACCCUUGUCUUAUGUUGCCAGCACGUUGUGGUGGGGACUCGUAAGAAACUGCCGGGGUUAACUCGGAGGAAGGUGGGGAUGACGUCAAAUCAUCAUGCCCCUUAUGUCCAGGGCUUCACACAUGCUACAAUGGUCGGUACAGUGGGUUGCCAGUCCGUGAGGGCGAGCUAAUCCCGCAAAGCCGGUCUCAGUUCGGAUCGGGGUCUGCAACUCGACCCCGUGAAGUCGGAGUCGCUAGUAAUCGCAGAUCAGCAACGCUGCGGUGAAUACGUUCCCGGGCCUUGUACACACCGCCCGUCACGUCAUGAAAGUCGGUAACACCCGAAGCCAGUGGCCUAACACAUUUUUGUGGGGGAGCUGUCGAAGGUGGGAUUGGCGAUUGGGACGAAGUCGUAACAAGGUAGCCGUACCGGAAGGUGCGGCUGGAUCACCUCCUUUCUAAGGAG
rnacentral:rRNA from 1 species